rnacentral:rRNA from 1 species
UACGGAGGGUGCAAGCGUUAUCCGGAUUCACUGGGUUUAAAGGGAGCGCAGGCGGAUUUGUAAGUCAGUGGUGAAAGGCUUAAGCUUAACUUGGGAACUGCCAUUGAUACUAUAAGUCUUGAAUGUUGUUGAGGUUUGCGGAAUGGGUCAUGUAGCGGUGAAAUGCAUAGAUAUGACCCGGAACACCUAUUGCGAAGGCAGCAGGCUAAACAAAUAUUGACGCUGAGGCUCGAAAGCGUGGGGAGCAAACGGG